rnacentral:rRNA from 1 species
GACGAACGCUGGCGGCGUGCUUAACACAUGCAAGUCGAACGGAAAGGCCCUGCUUUUGUGGGGUGCUCGAGUGGCGAACGGGUGAGUAACACGUGAGUAACCUGCCCUUGACUUUGGGAUAACUACAGGAAACUGGGGCUAAUACCGGAUAGGAGCUCCUGCUGCAUGGUGGGGGUUGGAAAGUUUCGGCGGUUGGGGAUGGACUCGCGGCUUAUCAGCUUGUUGGUGGGGUAGUGGCUUACCAAGGCUUUGACGGGUAGCCGGCCUGAGAGGGUGACCGGCCACAUUGGGACUGAGAUACGGCCCAGACUCCUACGGGAGGCAGCAGUGGGGAAUAUUGCACAAUGGGCGGAAGCCUGAUGCAGCAACGCCGCGUGCGGGAUGACGGCCUUCGGGUUGUAAACGGCUUUCGCCUGUGACGAAGCGUGAGUGACGGUAAUGGGUAAAGAAGCACCGGCUAACUACGUG